CACCCUCGCCAGCAUCUAUAGUCUCCUGAUUUGUUCAUUUUAGCCACUCUGACUGGCGUGAGGUGGUAUCUCGGUGAAACACCUUCUUAAGAUAACGGUACAGAACCAGCUGGCAGAUUUUUUUAUAUCCAUCAAAAUGCUAAUUACUCCUUUCAGUGUGACGUUUACCAUCUGAACUCUUGCAGUUUCCAUCAUCUUAAAUGGAAUAAUCACUGAACACGUAUUUUAUCAAGUCUAACUGGCUAUAUACAAAAAAUACUUUGAAGUAAAUUUAAUCAUUAUUGUAUGACUAUGUCUUUUCAGAAAGUCAUAGGCCUGUAAUAUUCAGUGUAAGCCAUUUAUCAGCAAAACUGUAAUCAACAUCCCAUGUUUGACAAUAGUCAAACACUGUCUAUAUUUGUUAUCAUCUAUCUAUAGGAAUUAUCUAUUAUUUGCAUGUUCUGGGGGAUAACAGUCUCAUUAUUAAGUGUUUGCAUUGGCAAAUAGAAAGAGCACUUGCUGGGGAGGAAAGAGAAGGGAGAGCAAUUCAUGAGUGUCCAUUUAGCCCUGCCCCUCUGUGAUAGUUACUCAGAGCCCCAGAGCACUACUCUGGACUCCGUGUCCAGGAAACACUGGGGCAGACCCAUCUCACCUCCAUGGCUUCCUCAGCCAGUCAGCACUUCUAAGGCAGCUCUCUGUCUCUCAGUGCCCUUCUGGGAAGACUGUCACAGACCUCACAGUGUUCACUUCCAGAGGACAAUUCUGAUCGUGAUCAUCUCAGAAGCCAAGCCCAUCCCCCACCCCUCCACAGGUCUGUACUCUUUCCUAUUAAGUAAACAGCAGCAGCAGAACAUUGGUAAGCAAGUAUUUUGCACACUGAAAACUAGUGCAAAAGGACUCAGUUUCUCUCACUUUCUUUCUCCAAGUACAGACUCUGUAUUGCAUGCCUUCCUGACUUGACUGAAAAGUCAUAAAACCAUGACAAGCUCAUAUGCAGAAACCCAGUCAGGAACUUCUCUUCCAAACCAGUAGCUUCAGCAGACUUCCUAUCUACAGAGACUUAAUGCCUCCAACCCUGGAGCAGAGCAUCAGAGCCAGGAGAAACCAGACACUGCCAAUUCAUCAUAGCUCUAGCAGAGCAGCAGAGAGUGAAUUAUAUUCAAACAUCAUAUACUUUGACCUGCAAUUCUGGCUGGAUCCUGGUCUCCUCAAGCUAAACAGCCUCUCAGCAAAAACCCUUGAGCAUGUGAUACUGAGGAUUUUACUUCUUACCAACAACAGGCAAUUUGAUUUGCAGGUGUUAGUUCCCAGCUCUCCAAACCUGCAUCUCCCUUAUGCCUGCAGGACUGCUCUGGUGGACAAGCUGUUACUCAAUCAGAUUCCAUCCUGUCACAUGGCUUUCAAAUUGGGGCUCCGCCUGAAAGGGUGGAGAACGAAGGGACCAGCCAUGGCCCCACACCACCCCAUCGGAGCUGCCCGUCGGUUUUAAAUACUUAGCACGGGUCCAAAUUUUACUUAAGGAAAAUAUUCAUGGCUUAAGAAAGCCACGAUUUUGAAGGACACUGAUAGACAC
rnacentral:lncRNA from 1 species